rnacentral:rRNA from 1 species
AAUUCUAAUUUAAUAGAAGUCAAGUUAUGGUCUGAGAGAUAACUUAAAAAUGGAAAGUUAUUUAGAAACAAGAUAAAAGGCAAAACACCAAACUUCAUACAAACUUAAAUGUUUGACAUUUAAAAAUUAAAGAGAUUUUUUUUUUAAGUGUAUUUGAGACAAAUAAGCCAACCUUGGUACAUAACCGCUGAAAACUAAAAAACCGUACCCUAAACCAACACAGGUGGAUAGGUCGAGUAGACUAAGGUGUAUGAGAUAAUUAUGUUGAAGGAACUCGGCAAAAUGACUCUGUAACUUCGGGAGAAAGAGUACCUUUUUAUUUAAAUGUUUAUCGACG